AAAACGGAGAGUUUGAUCCUGGCUCAGGAUGAACGCUGGCGGUAUGCUUAACACAUGCAAGUCGAACGGUGUCUUCGGACACAGUGGCGGACGGGUGAGU
rnacentral:rRNA from 2 species